rnacentral:rRNA from 1 species
UACGUAGGGUCCGAGCGUUGUCCGGAAUUAUUGGGCGUAAAGGGUGCGUAGGCGGCGCGGUAAGUCGGGUGUGAAAUCUCGGAGCUUAACUCCGAAACUGCAUUCGAUACUGCCGUGCUUGAGGACUGGAGAGGAGACUGGAAUUUACGGUGUAGCAGUGAAAUGCGUAGAGAUCGUAAGGAAGACCAGUGGCGAAGGCGGGUCUCUGGACAGUUCCUGACACUGAGGCACGAAGGCCAGGGGAGCAAACGGG